CCUAAUUUAUGGCUAGUCGAGCGGACAGAUGGGAGCUUGCUCCCUGAUGUUAGCGGCGGACGGGUGAGUAACACGUGGGUAACCUGCCUGUAAGACUGGGAUAACUCCGGGAAACCGGGGCUAAUACCGGAUGGUUGUUUGAACCGCAUGGUUCAAACAUAAAAGGUGGCUUCGGCUACCACUUACAGAUGGACCCGCGGCGCAUUAGCUAGUUGGUGAGGUAACGGCUCACCAAGGCUACGAUGCGUAGCCGACCUGAGAGGGUGAUCGGCCACACUGGGACUGAGACACGGCCCAGACUCCUACGGGAGGCAGCAGUAGGGAAUCUUCCGCAAUGGACGAAAGUCUGACGGAGCAACGCCGCGUGAGUGAUGAAGGUUUUCGGAUCGUAAAGCUCUGUUGUUAGGGAAGAACAAGUACCGUUCGAAUAGGGCGGUACCUUGACGGUACCUAACCAGAAAGCCACGGCUAACUACUUGCCAGCAGCCGCGGUAAUACGUAGGUGGCAAGCGUUGUCCGGAAUUAUUGGGCGUAAAGGGCUCGCAGGCGGUUUCUUAAGUCUGAUGUGAAAGCCCCCGGCUCAACCGGGGAGGGUCAUUGGAAACUGGGGAACUUGAGUGCAGAAGAGGAGAGUGGAAUUCCACGUGUAGCGGUGAAAUGCGUAGAGAUGUGGAGGAACACCAGUGGCGAAGGCGACUCUCUGGUCUGUAACUGACGCUGAGGAGCGAAAGCGUGGGGAGCGAACAGGAUUAGAUACCCUGGUAGUCCACGCCGUAAACGAUGAGUGCUAAGUGUUAGGGGGUUUCCGCCCCUUAGUGCUGCAGCUAACGCAUUAAGCACUCCGCCUGGGGAGUACGGUCGCAAGACUGAUACUCAAAGGAAUUGACGGGGCCCGCACAAGCUGUGGAGCAUGUGGUUUAAUUCGAAGCACGCGAAGAACCUUACCAGGU
rnacentral:rRNA from 1 species